GAUGAACGCUGGCGGCGUGCCUAAUACAUGCCAGUCGAGCGAACAGACGAGGAGCUUGCUCCUCUGACGUUAGCGGCGGACGGGUGAGUAACACGUGGAUAACCUACCUAUAAGACUGGGAUAACUUCGGGAAACCGGAGCUAAUACCGGAUAAUAUAUUGAACCGCAUGGUUCAAUAGUGAAAGACGGUUUUGCUGUCACUUAUAGAUGGAUCGGCGCCGCAUUAGCUAGUUGGUAAGGUAACGGCUUACCAAGGCGACGAUGCGUAGCCGACCUGAGAGGGUGACCGGCCACACUGGAACUGAGACACGGUCCAGACUCCUACGGGAGGCAGCAGUAGGGAAUCUUCCGCAAUGGGCGAAAGCUUGACGGAGCAACGCCGCGUGAGUGAUGAAGGUCUUCGGAUCGUAAAACUCUGUUAUUAGGGAAGAACAAAUGUGUAAGUAACUAUGCACGUCUUGACGGUACCUAAUCAGAAAGCCACGGCUAACUACGUG
rnacentral:rRNA from 1 species